AGAGUUUGAUCCUGGCUCAGAACGAACGCUGGCGGCAUGCCUAACACAUGCAAGUCGAACGCCCUCUUCGGAGGGAGUGGCGCACGGGUGCGUAACGCGUGGGAACCUGCCCUUAGGUUCGGAAUAACUCAGAGAAAUUUGAGCUAAUACCGGAUAAUGUCUUCGGACCAAAGAUUUAUCGCCUUUGGAUGGGCCCGCGUUGGAUUAGCUAGUUGGUGGGGUAAAGGCCUACCAAGGCGACGAUCCAUAGCUGGUCUGAGAGGAUGAUCAGCCACACUGGGACUGAGACACGGCCCAGACUCCUACGGGAGGCAGCAGUGGGGAAUAUUGGACAAUGGGCGAAAGCCUGAUCCAGCAAUGCCGCGUGAGUGAUGAAGGCCUUAGGGUUGUAAAGCUCUUUUACUGGGGAUGAUAAUGACAGACCCAGAGAAUAA
rnacentral:rRNA from 1 species